UACGUAGGGUGCGAGCGUUAAUCGGAAUUACUGGGCGUAAAGCGUGCGCAGGCGGCGCCGCAAGUCAGGCGUGAAAUCCCCGAGCUUAACUUGGGAAUGGCGCUUGAAACUACGGUGCUGGAGUGUGGCAGAGGGAGGUGGAAUUCCACGUGUAGCGGUGAAAUGCGUAGAGAUCGGGAGGAACACCUGUGGCGAAGGCGGCUCGCUGGGCCGGUCCUGACGCUGAGACGCGAAGGCGUGGGGAGCGAACGGG
rnacentral:rRNA from 1 species